rnacentral:rRNA from 1 species
AGUCUCCUGAAGGAACGUUGAAGACGACAACGUUGAUAGGCCGGGUGUGUAAGCGCAGCGAUGCGUUGAGCUAACCGGUACUAAUGAACCGUGAGGCUUAACCUUACAACGCCGAAG